GUAAAUAUUAUUUCUAAACUUUCAUAAUACUUUAAAAGUUAAAACAUUAAUGUUGUAGGUAUAAGUGAUGUGUUUUAAGUAUUUUUUUAUGCACAAUUUUGUUAAGUAAGGAUUAGAGCGUCGAAUGUUUGAAAUGUUUGGUCAUAAUUACACAUGGUAUUUACGCAGGUAUCACUCCGCCAGAAAAGUAGAGACCUGUGUAUGUGUUUCAUGUUUCCAACAAAGCUGAUGAGGUAUCACUCCGCCAGAAAAGUAGAGACCUGUGUAUGUGUUUCAUGUUUCCAACAAAGGUAUCACUCCGCCAGAAAAGUAGAGACCCGUGUAUGUGUUUCAUGUUUCCAACAAAGAGUCCUAUUGUGGUCCUGACAAGAAAUGGCAACAGCAAAGGAUGAAUGUUCCAUAGCAAGAAGAUAGAGAAAAAGAAGAAGAUUAUCGACUGCGGCGUAUCCUUGGACUACAAAGGCGGAAGCACGCAACUUUUUAAGACUUAUGCAGAUCCCAAAUACAGAUCAGCAGGUAAGAAAGAAAGGUUAAAUGUCGGCGACUUCACGCUGCCACACAACAACAACAUUGAGCGACGGGCAGGACCAAGUUUUGCAGACCGACCAAGUUGCUGAGGCUAGUUGCAGAAGUUUUAAUGGACCAAGUUGGAAAAGUAAAUGAAGGUAAACUGUUGUGAGCCAUGUCACUUUCUGGGGGCUAAGCUUCAAAUUAAAUUGGGGUUUUUCUUUGGAGGUCGUAUUUUUUUCCCUACAAGUUAGAAAACGCUUGAUUCUGAUCAAUUUCAUUGCUGUGCUGGGUUAUGGAGACUUUAUGUUUGUGAAUGCACCCAACAUUUAUUUUAAUGUAUGUUACUGUGCUUAAAGUUUAAUUACUGGUUGUGGCAACCUUGUC